GAUGAACGCUGGCGGCGUGCCUAAUACAUGCAAGUCGAGCGAACGGACGAGAAGCUUGCUUUUCUGAUGUUAGCGGCGGACGGGUGAGUAACACGUGGAUAACCUACCUAUAAGACUGGGAUAACUUCGGGAAACCGGAGCUAAUACCGGAUAAUAUUUUGAACCGCAUGGUUCAAAAGUGAAAGACGGUCUUGCUGUCACUUAUAGAUGGAUCCGCGCUGCAUUAGCUAGUUGGUAAGGUAACGGCUUACCAAGGCAACGAUGCAUAGCCGACCUGAGAGGGUGAUCGGCCACACUGGAACUGAGACACGGUCCAGACUCCUACGGGAGGCAGCAGGAGGGAAUCUUCCGCAAUGGGCGAAAGCCUGACGGAGCAACGCCGCGUGAGUGAUGAAGGUCUUCGGAUCGUAAAACUCUGUUAUUAGGGAAGAACAUAUGUGUAAGUAACUGUGCACAUCUUGACGGUACCUAAUCAGAAAGCCACGGCUAACUACGU
rnacentral:rRNA from 1 species